AAAGCAUGCAAGUCGAACGAUACUGAGGCCGCAAGGCCGAAGUAUAGUGGCAGACGGGUUAAUAAUACGUAGGUACCAACCCCAAUCACGGGCAUAAUCCGCCGAAAGGCGGACUAAUUCCCGAUAGUCCGGGCAUAUAAGCAAUUAUGUGUCCGGUAAAGACUCUAGUCGGAAUGGGAUGAGCCUGCGUCCUAUCAGCUACUUGGUAAGGUAAUGGCUUACCAAGGCUAUGACGGGUAGGCGGUGUGAGAGCAUGAUCGCCAACAAUGGGACUGAGAUAUGGCCCAUACUCCUACGGGAGGCAGCAGUCGAGAAUAUUGGUCAAUGGGGGAAACCCAGACCCAGCGACGCCGCGUGCUCGAAGAAGUCCUUCGGGAUGUAAAGAGCCUUU
rnacentral:rRNA from 1 species